UGGUUCUCGCAUCGAUGAAGAACGCAGCGAAUUGCGAUAUGUAAUGUGAAUUGCAGAAUUCAGUGAAUCAUCGAAUCUUUGAACGCACCUUGCGCCCCUUGGUAUUCCGAAGGGCAUGCCUGUUUGAGUGUCUUGAACAUCUCACCUCUUCAAUUGUUUUGCGAAAAACGGUUGAACUAUGGUGGACGCUGGGGGCUAUGCCGGUCUACUUGAUUGAUCGGCUCUCCUUAAAAGCAUUAGCGAGCGCCGCACUGCGGGGCCAGCUCUGGUUUGAUAAAAUCUAUGCCUUUGCUGAGAACGCUUCUUUGGAGCUCGCUUAUAACUGUCUCUCGCAUUCACCGAGACUGUCUCUUUUGAGGCAUAACUUAUUCAUUUGACCUCAAAUCAGGUAGGACUACCCGCUGA
rnacentral:misc_RNA from 1 species